UCAUAAAAAUGCCGAGGUGUCCUCGGUUUUUUUUUUCUUUCGCAGACAGCUUGGACAGCAUCUACGGGAUUUAGGAGUUUUAAACAGCACAAAGAGAAGGAAAAGAAGAACCUACUGUAUUUGUCAUGUGUUUUGUUAGAACUUGCUUAACAUCCCUGCCUUCUCUCUAUUUCCGUCUUCAGAAAGCAUACAGCUUUCAUCAUUAGCUGAUCCCGUUGCCGGCAAGGAGUAAUGUUUCGAACACGUCAUGAAUUUUUAUAAUAUUGCACAUUAGGUAUCGAGAGCCAGCGCUAAGAGAGAAGUUACGACUGAGACGUCUGCUCUAAAUCAUGUGCGUGCUUGCAAAGAAGUGGACACUGAUGACGCAUGCUUUAGAGGAUGCUCGCCGUCUUGCGCAGCUCUCUGUGUUGACGACGCUGUGGACAUCUUCAAUUGUAAUUUUGUGAUAAUACAACUCAGCCUCGCAAACUAAAGAUAAGACUCCUUUGCCUCAUUUGGCUUAGGACGAUGAGUAAAACGAGAACAAGGUGAAAGCCGGAGCCAACGUUUCGGCAAGUGAACUUGUCUUAUUGAAGGCGAAAGUCCACUUUUCGAAACGUUGGCUUUUGCUUUCACCUUGUUCUCGUAUUGCUCAUCGUCUUCAAUUUCCAUCUCCCGCUUUCCCCGCAUUUUCCCUCAUUUGGAUUAGGUGACUUCUGGGGUGUUCGAAUAUUGUAAUCGCGAAGAAAGCCUUAGAAACAUCUGUGAGAAAAUUCAAUACACUCAUUGUUCCCUUUCUUGAGUCACUAAGCUGAUAACCAGCAUGCAGGUCACCACCCUACACGAGAGCGCUUUGUUUACGUGUACUGUGCACGGCUGCAGGUUAAUCACCGCAUGUGGUCAAAAUUCAUUCGCAGUCCGCCACUACGACGUGCCUCGCAGCCACAUCGCGAUUUUGGCACGUAAAAUUCAAUAACUUAGAAAAAAAAAUCAGUGGCUAUUUACGCGUAGCUCGACAAUAUUGGCGUCAUCAAACCAGCUACUCGCAGCUUGCCCGUACUAGCCAAACCACGCAUAGUAGUUCAGCAGGUGCAGCGGGAAUCAGCUGGCACUUUUCAAGCUGAGGCGCGAAUUGUAAUACGCUCGCUUCACGCUAAAUAUUGCUGUUGACGAUUUCUUGUUUCAUAAAGCCGACGCUCGCGUUCUGACGCAGCCUUUCCAGUAGGCACCACGUGCAGAGCAUUAUGCACAAUUCGCCUGCAGGAUGGCACGUCGCUUUAGGUGUCAGUCCCGCCUCCAUACACUGUGCACGAGGCCUUAUGCACAGUUUGUUCAGCGCACUCAGGGGCGCUUUCCUUGUACACACUGUUAAUACCGGUCCCACAGAAGAUCAUAAAUUAUUCCCAGUUGAAUUUUAACACCAAUGCUCAUUGCCAGUAGAGCGCUAAAUGAAGAUACACGCGCUAGUUUACCUUUCUCGGGUGACCGCUUUUUCACCGGCUAACAGAGGUUAAAAGUUAUCGCUCAGCGCAGGGCGCGCCUGCGUGUAUCGGAAGUUUCUCGAGUGUUAUCGGCGGUUCUAUCCGUUGCCACCGAACAUUGCGUAAUCUGAUCGUACGCGCUACGCGAAUCGUGUCGUACUUUCUGGAAGGCACGCGGACACCAGAGAUUAUUCUGGAAUCUUCCAUGACCCAUGCAGAAAGGUUGCCGCGCUUGGCCCGCAGAUCAAAUUUGUGCGAUCGCCGACUGUGUUCGACGUUGUCGUUGUGCUUUGAGUGUAACCUGCUGUUGUGGGCGCAGGUUCGCCCAAUAGGGAAGUUCGUUAACUCAGAGUUUUUCCGCAGUGUUCUUCCCCCGUCACUACUAUGGGACAGUAUGUCCAUCGCGUUGCCGCUCAAGCCACUGUGACAGGCGGCAAAGUGUGCAUUCAGCUCCUGAGGACCCUGCAAGAAGACGGAGCUGCCACCGCGUAUCCGGUACACAAAGACAGACGUCGGCCAGCGGUGUAAAUCUCGGAGAACCGCGGCAGAGUGUCAGCGAGUCACGCCCCGUUCACUGGAUGUCGCCGAAGUGUUCAUGUCGGAUGGCCAAGCCAAAAGCCGCACCUUGCCGUCAUCUUACCGCUUCGGCUUCUUCAGGGGAUUCUUCUGUUCCUUUAAAUAAGGAGCCGUGAAGUAAGCCAAGAAAAGACAAAUCGAAAGUUGCCGUAUAUUCCGCCAGGUGUCUCGACACGUCGCAGUUGCAUAUAGCAGUGGCAUGCUGCAUGUAGCUGGACCUGGCCACUCAAGCAGGCUAGGUGACCAAGGGGAUGCCAACAAACCAUCAUUAUUAUCAUCCUCAUUAUUACAAUCAACAGCAAAACACCGUGCCAAGGGAUACCAAAUGUGCGCCACGCAUUCUGCGUGCCUGUAUUUACUAUUCGGUACACGUUAUGGCUCCUCACCGCAAGGUACGAACUGCUGCUGAAGGAGCGAAUUGUAAAGCUACGCGGCGGCUUCAACCCGGCAACAUCGGGCUCAGCAGACCGCUGUGCAGAGAGCAGGACAAGCCGCUCCUCUCCGUUGACGCCAGGCGGACAGUUCAGACCACUCUCGUGAAAACGACGAGAACAGACUUCUCCGCGAGGUCCCUGUAGUGCGUGGUUCCGAAAAUGGAGGGCCUAUGGAACCGCUCCUUCAGCUUACGUUGUGACUGUGUUGCGUGCGCCGCGCAGGCCUGUCAUUUUCUAGGCUAUUUAGUUAGCAGUUAUUCAGCAGCAGGAAAGCAAACACGAAAAAGAAAUGAAUGACAUGGCGUCACAAAAUGCUGCACAAAAUCAGAAAAUUCCCGGAUACGUAACAAUUAUGUACAGGAAAACAUGUCAAAUCACAUUAUUUGUGAGCAUGGUAAUCAUAAAAAAUGCUAACUGAGAAGUACAAAACAGCGCAGAAAAUAUCUAGCAUAUAGUGUAAUAAUAUCACCAUAAUAAAAUAAAGCAAAAACAAGUAGACCAGAUUAAAUUUAUGUGGCGCAAAGCUUUCGUGAGCAUUUUAAUCAAAAGCAAUAAAACUGAAUCCGAAUU